AUAAAAAGCGAGAUGAGUGAGAGAGUAAGGUAACAUAAUGCCUCUCAAAAAAUUUCAAAGCAUGUGCAAAAAAAUGAGGUACACCAACCUUGGAUUCUUUUAUACUUCUUUCUUACAUAGUUAUUUCUUAUAUAUAUAAGUACUAUUAUUAAAUGUCAAGAAUGAAAAAGGAUCAUGUGUUUUUAUUAAAAUGAGAAAAACGAAAAUCAUUCAUACAAAACACUCGUCUCUUUUAAACAUGUGAUAAAUUUCAACAACUUCCUUCUCACUCGCUCUCUCAAAUCUAUCUCUCCUCUCCCUUAUAUAAAACCAACUUCAUACACAUUUUUCACUUUCACUUUAAAACCAACUUCUUUAUAAACAAAUAGUUUUCUAGUUUCAAGCUCCUGCACCAACUCAACCUUCUCCAAAUGCAAGGUCUUCACGGAGGUGCUAUUAUUUUGGAGCAAGAGCAUUUGAUCAGAGCAUGAGGCUUUCAAACCAACAAUCAAAGCAUUUGAGCUAGAUUAAAGGUACUCAAGUAUAACUAUGGACGUUUGUAGGUUCAUCGUAUCCAGUUGGUGUGUCGCUCUGAUACGUAGCACUCGAGGGGUUGUCUAUAUUGUUGUUUCUAUGUUGUUCAUGUUUUAGUUGUUGAGUUCCAAAUUGGACAUUGAGAAGUACUAUGAUGUUUGAAUUUGUUUCUGAUUAAAUAAGAUGAUUUGUUUAUAAAGCUGAAUGUUAUGAUUCCGCUGCAUAUUAAAAUGAAGUUGGUUUGUCUAAGAGCUGUUAUAAGUUGUUUUGUAUCUGAGAUUAAAGUGCUAUGUAUCUGUUUAUGAGUUGUUAAUAUGAAGUAAAUGUGAUAUCCCAAAUGCAUUGUUGAUAGUUUUUAAAACACUCUGAUUUCUCGCAUGAUAUUUUUGGGUAGAAUUUGGGGUGUUACACCAUCAUAGGGCUUUCGCCCUUGGGUGAAAUCUUCGACCCAACUCUCCCGACGGAGAUAAACUUCAACUUCACCAACGCUACUAUCACUAAAUACAUGCAGGAUCAUUAUGACAAGUCCA